CCGGUGGCGGAAGCGACCAACAUGAGGACGGGCCGGACGCUGAGGCACGUAAGCAUGGGGACCGAACCGGAUUACGAUACCCGGGUAGUCCACGCCUGUACACGAUGUCAGCCUCUGGAGUUAGGCAGGAAGAAAGAGCCGCUGAGUGCCAAAGCUCACGCGAUAAGCCGACCGCCUGGGGAUUACGAGCGCAAGCGUCAGACUCAAAGGAAUUGACGGGGGCCCGCACAAGCAACGGAGCGUGUGGUUUAAAUCGACGCUACGCGAAGAACCUUUACACCAGGUUUGACAUGUGUCUGCAAGUGCACAGAAAUGUGUGACCUUCGAGGGUGCCACACAGGUCCAGUAUGACUGUCGUCAGCUCGGAUCGUGAGAUCCUGGGUUAAGUCGCCGCAACGAGCGCAAACGCCUUACUGCCAGUUACUUGUGUCUGGAGGGAUCUGCCUUCACUAAUGGAGGAGGAAGACGGGGACGACGUCAAGUCCGCAUGGCCCAUACACCUGGGUCGACACACACGAUACAAUGACCAGCACAUAUGCGUCGCAAGCACGACAAGUGUUAGCUAAUCCGUCCGAAAGUCUGCUAUCAGUACAGAUCGGGGGAUGCAACUCGCCCCCGUGAAGAUGGAGUUGCUAGUAACCGCGUAUCACCCAUGGCGCGGUGAAUACGUGCCCGGGCCAUUGUACACACCGCCCGUCACGUCAUGG
rnacentral:rRNA from 1 species